rnacentral:rRNA from 1 species
ACGGAAGGCAGCAGUGGGGAAUAUUGGGCAAUGGGGGCAACCCUGACCCAGCAACGCCGCGUGAAGGAAGAAGGCUUUCGGGUUGUAAACUUCUUUGACGAGGGACGAAAGGAAUGACGGUACCUCGAAAACAAGCCACGGCUAACUACGUGCCAGCAGCCGCGGUAAUACGUAGGUGGCAAGCGUUGUCCGGAUUUACUGGGUGUAAAGGGCGCGUAGGCGGGGAAUCAAGUCAGAUGUGAAAUGCUCAGGCUUAACCUGGGAGCUGCAUUUGAAACCGAUUUUCUUGAGUAUCGGAGAGGCAGGCGGAAUUCCUAGUGUAGCGGUGAAAUGCGUAGAGAUGGGGAGGAACACCAGUGGCGAAGGCGGCCUGCUGGGCCUUAACUGACGCUGAGGCACGAAAGCGUGGGUAGCAAACAGGAUUAGAUACCCUGGUA